rnacentral:rRNA from 1 species
UACGAAGGGGGCUAGCGUUGCUCGGAAUGACUGGGCGUAAAGGGCGCGUAGGCGGAUGGAACAGUCAGAUGUGAAAUUCCUGGGCUCAACCUGGGGGCUGCAUUUGAUACGUUUGAUCUAGAGUGAGGAAGAGGGUCGUGGAAUUCCCAGUGUAGAGGUGAAAUUCGUAGAUAUUGGGAAGAACACCGGUGGCGAAGGCGGCGACCUGGUCCUUUACUGACGCUGAGGCGCGAAAGCGUGGGGAGCAAACAGG